rnacentral:rRNA from 1 species
ACAGCAGUAGCCGCGGUAAUACGGAGGGUGCAAGCGUUAUCCGGAUUUAUUGGGUUUAAAGGGUCCGUAGGCGGACUUAUAAGUCAGUGGUGAAAGCCUGUCGCUUAACGAUAGAACUGCCAUUGAUACUGUAAGUCUUGAGUAUAUUUGAGGUAGCUGGAAUAAGUAGUGUAGCGGUGAAAUGCAUAGAUAUUACUUAGAACACCAAUUGCGAAGGCAGGUUACCAAGAUAUAACUGACGCUGAGGGACGAAAGCGUGGGUAGCGAACAGGAUUAGAUACCCCCGUAGUCCCUGUCUCUUAUAA